GUGUCAGCAGCCGCGGUAAUACAGAGACUGCAAGCGUUAUUCGGAUUCACUGGGCGUAAAGGGUGCGCAGGCGGCCAGAUGUGUCAGGUGUGAAAGCCCGGGGCUUAACCCCGGAAUUGCGCCUGAAACUGUCUGGCUAGAGUACUGGAGAGGGUAGCGGAAUUCACGGUGUAGCAGUGAAAUGCGUAGAUAUCGUGAGGAACACCAGAGGCGAAGGCGGCUACCUGGACAGUAACUGACGCUCAGGCACGAAAGCGUGGGGAGCAAAAGGGAUUAGAAACCCCCGUAGUCC
rnacentral:rRNA from 1 species